rnacentral:rRNA from 1 species
GUUGAAACACCGGUUCUCGUCCGAUCACCGAAGUUAAGCAACAUCAAGACUGGUCAGUACCUAACUGGGUGACCCUUUGGGAAUACCAGAUGCUGUAA